rnacentral:pre_miRNA from 1 species
UCAGGGUUGGUGGGGGUGCCCUCAGUCCAGAUUGUGAGAGGGUGCAGGCCAGGCUGAGGGACCCCACCAGUGCACC